CACUGCUUCACCAUCACAGUAAGAUUGUUGGAGAAAAACAGCUGUACUGAAAACUGUAAUGUUUGAUUCUGUCGCAGGUUUUCUCAAGCACAAUUUCAUUGUCUGGACAAGCUAAAGCUGCAGAAUGAAAGAGAUCGUCCUGCAUGAUAGCUUGUGUAUUUGCACACAUCAUACUAACAAAAAACUCUUACCAGAAGUCAUGAGCUGGAGCUCCAACUUUGUGAUGCUGUUUGCAAAUGUUUGUUUGAACGCUGGUUUCAGUAAACAGAGUAUGGUUGAACUAUGUUGGUAAUGACAGUCGGCUAAUGAUGUUUUUGGGAAAUGCACUCCAACGCACUCUUUGAAAGCCCCUUUUUGGAUGAUCAAACUACUUCUGCAUAUUAAACUGUGAUAGGAGAAAGUGUUUUAAUGACACAUCACCUAACAGAUGAAGAACUUCUCAUAAAUGUCAAUGUUGAUUAGAAGAGAGGUUUCUAGGAAUAUAUGGGCAACAUUAAGGAACAGUGUUCGCAACAUCAGACAUCAAGUCGAAUACUUUGUUAAGCAGCUCUUUCUUGUGUUUAUUGUUUAGUGCCAGGCUCAGUUCAGCUCAGUUCAUGGCUGAACACAGGAAACCUGCACAUUCCCCGUCUUCCUCUGGGUGGGUCGCCUGUUACUUGUGUGUCUUUGAGAGACUAUUUUCAUGAACACACAAUGGGAAAGUACAUUAAGAGCCUUUCCUCCGUGUGUGUUUGCGAGUUGUGUGGCAUUAUGCUCAGAGUCUAAUGUUAAGCAUUCAAUGGCCAUUGUGAACACCUAAUGUUGUCAUUCACUGGCAUUAUGAAAGGUACAGUCUCUAUUAAUAUAUUAAUAUAUAUAUAUAUAUAUAUAUAUAUA